GCGCUUGCUUUGGCAGCACAUAUACUAAAACUGGAACAAUACAGAGAAGAUUAGCAUGGCCCUUGUGCAAGGAUGACAUGCACAUUCUUGGAGCAUUCCAUAUUUUU